CCUUAGUUACCAGCACGUUAUGGUGGGCACUCUAAGGAGACUGCCGGUGCAAACCGGAGGAAGUGGGGAUGACGUCAAGUCAUCAUGGCCCUUACGGCCUGGGCUACACACGUGCUACAAUGGUCGGCACAAAGGGUUGCCAAGCCGCGAGGUGGAGCUAAUCCCAUAAAACCGAUCGUAGUCCGGAUCGCAGUCUGCAACUCGACUGCGUGAAGUCGGAAUCGCUAGUAAUCGUGAAUCAGAAUGUCACGGUGAAUACGUUCCCGGGCCUU
rnacentral:rRNA from 1 species